rnacentral:rRNA from 1 species
UACGUAGGGUCCAAGCGUUAUCCGGAAUCACUGGGCGUAAAGCGUGCGUAGGUGGAUAGUUAAGUGCAACAUUAAAUCCCGUGGCUCAACCAUGUGGCUGUGUUGCAUACUGGCUGUCUAGAGGACAUGAGAGGCAAGUGGAAUUACUGGUGUAGCAGUGAAAUGCGUAGAUAUCAGGAGGAACACCGAUGGCGAAGGCAGAUCUCUGGGCCGUAACUGACGCUGAGGAGCGAAAGCAUGGGGAGCGAACAGG